rnacentral:rRNA from 1 species
AUGGGAAGUUCAAGCGUUGGCGCUGUAGCAGCGGUGUGCAGGAGCAGGGAUGGUCUCUUUCUUGGUGCGUCCACUGUUGUGUUCAAGGGUAUCUCCGACCCUACAACACUUGAAGCGAUGGGAGUUAGGGAAUCGAUGACACUAGCUGAGGAUCUCCAGUUGCAAGCGAUUCACGUGGCGACGGAUUGCAUGGACGUGGUGAAUGAUAUCAAGCAGAAGAGUAGCCCGAGCUAUGGGGCCAUUAUACAUGAAAUCAUAGAGUACUCUAGUAGUUUUAAUUUAUGUACUUUUGUUCAUGAGUUUAGGAGCUCGAAUGUCAAAGCUCACAAUCUAGCGAAGCAUGCUUUGAGACUAGGGAUCGGUCGCCAUGUCUGGUUAGGCCACCCCGGUGAUCUUUCUUUCGUCCCUGUAAACAUUGUGAUGGACUAA